rnacentral:lncRNA from 1 species
UCAACAUGUAAACAAUAUAAAAAUAUUAAUUAAAUAUUAUACAUAAUUGUAAAGUAAAUGCUUGAAACCCUGAACAUAUUUCACACUAAGAACACAUGUCAGUUCACACAUCAAGAAAAACUGGUCCGCCUCCCAGGUUCACGCCAUUCUCCUGCCUCAGCCUCCCGAGUAGCUGGGACUACAAUCACCCGCUACCACACCCGGCUAAUUUUUUGUAUUUUUAGUAGAGACGGGGUUUCCC